UACGGAGGGUGCAAGCGUUAUCCGGAUUCACUGGGCGUAAAGGGCGCGUAGGCGGCCUGAUAAGUAGGGGGUGAAAUCCUGCGGCUUAACCGCAGGGCUGCCUUCUAAACUGUCAGGCUUGAGCACAGUAGAGGCAGGUGGAAUUCCCGGUGUAGCGGUGGAAUGCGUAGAGAUCGGGAAGAACAUCAGUGGCGAAGGCGGCCUGCUGGGCUGUUGCUGACGCUGAGGCGCGACAGCGUGGGGAGCAAACAGG
rnacentral:rRNA from 1 species